UUAAGACAAAGACAUGACUCACAUUCAGAAUUUCCUGUUGAAUUUUCUUGAGUGUGUUUUUUGUUGUUUUGUUUUGUUUUUUAAUGACCAGGAUGUCAUUGGACAGCUUGUCCUAAAAUAGACUGAUUACGAUAAUUGUAAAAAGACCAGGGAUGUAGAAGCUUUAAAGCAGCAAUUUUGCUUUAUGAGCCCCUUUUUGCCCGCACUGCUGUGACUGGAGGUCCCAGGGCAAUCACUGGGACUUUUGCAGGUAGAGGAUUCCCAGAAACUGGCUUUACAGAGCCAGUUCUCACUGAGGACUGACAAAGCAGUUCGUGUAGGCCAUGAACCGACAGAAAGACAAAGACAGAGCCACGAGAGAAGCAGUGCCAGGGCUCUGUCACCCACCGUCACCUGGUGGUCUCUGUUAGGGCUGUAAGCUCUCCUCACUUCAGGGUGCAGCAGGAUCCAACCGAGGCAGGGUAGGGUACAUUUGCCCCCAGCUUGCGCUGCAUUCGAGGAGGGUGCUGAGCAGGCUCUCUCUUCCUUCCCCCUUGCUGUGGCUCCAUACCUCCCAGCGCAACAGAAAUAAAGUGAGGACAAUAAACCGGUAAAUUGCACGCGCAAUUUAAUGCUAAAAAGUUCUUCUGAACUGCUAGUGGCAGGAAAGAUGAAGAUAAAUGGGAAGGAGGCGCACUAGGAAAAUAUUAAACAGCGAGGAAGUGGUUUGGGAUGGCACUUGGAAGUGUCCCAAGAGCAUAUGCCUGACGGCAGGUUUCUCCAGAGCCCUUCAGAGAAAGGAAGUUACGGCAAUUACGCUCCUUACAGGCACAUUAGUUGGGAGAAGUGAAUUUUCAGUUUUUCCUCGAGCUCUCGCAUUCAUCCAGAGCAUUUCUCUCUUUGAAAAACGCUCUAUUUUUUCAUCAGACAAGGGGGCUUUCUGCUAACCAGGACUGAGUUUGAAUGCCAUGUGCUCCAUAAAUCCACUUUGAUAACGUUGAUGAUCUGUUAGUUAUUUCAUUAGCAUCAUGCAACUACAAAGGGUGAGAGGCCACAGGAAACUCCAUAAAAUUGUCAGAGUCCUGUGGAGGAGGGGUGCUGGGGAGAAGAGGGAAGGAAUCGGCCUUAGGAAAGUAGUGGGGAAAAUGAUACAAAUGAUGUACUCUGAAAUUCGGUUUUGGUCAGAUUGACAGGGUUAGCAGGUGGAGAAUGCUUUCGCGUGCCUUUCAGAUACACGUGGAUAUUUUGCAACUGCAGAGGAAAGCAUUGGUACAAAAUUAGCAAAGACUGAAGGACAAGCCUGUUCCCUGAUCCUCUUUGAACUGCUGCGGGUCCCAGCACAUCAAUCACAGAGCCGGCUGAACACGGGAUGCUUGCUAGCAUAAAGACACGAGCAGGCCCUCAGUUUGCAGCACUACUGACCUGAAAGCAACAACAAAACAGGGCAGGAGGUGGUAAAACUGCCUUGGGAGCACAGUCUGCAGGACGCAUUCCCCCCAACAAGACCCUUAAAUGUCUCACAGCUGAGAAACAGGCAGCCAGGAGACUUACUAGUCAGAAAUAGAGUGUACAAGGAAAAAAAAAUCACUCACUGUGUAGUUACAUAUGGCACUACAUCUGCAAAUAUUUUACAUUUUCAAAUGUUUAGAGAAUUAUAGAAAUACUAACUCUUACAGUCUCCCCGUAAAUGUUCGGAACACAUUUUAUAGAAUAAGCUGAGGCAGAGAAGUAGCUUGCUCCAACGCCAGACAGUCGGUAGCAGAUUUGAAGAGAUCCAGAGCUAAAAAAACACUGCAGAAGAUUAAGAAUGCUUAUUUCAUGGCACAUGCAGAUUUACUUUAACAGCAUUCACCAUCCUUUUUGACCUGUGUCAGCAGGUUUCCUUUCGAGUCAUUACUUUGUUCAGGGAGAAGCAGAAGUCUCAAACGCUCACUUUUCUGCAUCUCUGCUGACUUUCACCAUGUAAUGCACGUUUCACAAAACGUGCACGUUUUUAAAGCCUCAGCUUGGGGAAUCAAACCUCCUCUUUUAUUCUUAUGGUUUGGGAAUUUAUUUCUUUAUUGUACUUAAACUUCUUAAAUAUAUUUGUGGAAAAGAGCCUAUGACAAAGCAAAUAAAAGAAAACCCUCUAGUUAUUUUUAGCUACUCAUUAUUCCUGUGUACAUCUCAUGAUACUAACAAAUUGAUUUAAGCUGACAGAAGCAGGGCCUACGUGGAGGAUUGAUACUGAAAUAUCCAGAGAGUCCUUUUGAAGCAAACCCUGGUUUAACUCCUCCAACUUCCAAAGCCAUUCACAAAAUACGAGCAUCAUCGUGCAGCUCAGUUGCCCAAUCAAGUAUUGCAAGUACCAAAUGAUGACAGAAACGGAAAACAAAAAAUUAAGAAUAUCUUAUGGGCUCUAAUCACUUCCCAGGAAGUGAAUCUUGCAUGGUAUAUAAGAGUGAAGCAACAAAAAUGAAAUUCUAUUAAAAAGAAUCUAUAAUAAAGAGAAAAACUCAGUAAAUUACUAACUGCAGGCUCUGCUCAGGAGUUCCUGGCUCCCAUUCCCCAGCUCUGUCCUCUAAACCACAUUGGUUUCUGCUACACAAACAGCAGAUGAAAAAGGCUCAGCUUUGGGUCUCCUGGCUAAACAAAAGAGCGGGCAGGGCGGCAGCCUAGAGCCUGUAAACAUUCUGCUCUGGGUUUUUGGCGUCUGCAGUACACAGCUUUCUAUACGUGUGCUUAGGCAUGUGCACAGCCACCCACUAAUAAAUACGGACUGUUACCUUGAGGGAAUAGCCAGAAAAUUCUGAAGCAGGGACCUGCUAUUACUGUAACCAUAUCGUGCUGAAGUUGAAACGAACCUUUCCUUCACCCCUCCUUCCCUUUCACAUUCCUCAUGCACUUUGAGCACAGAUGGUCAAACCCAGGCUUGCUUUUAGGAACUUCCACUCUCCUGAGCUGCAUCGCAAUGUAAAUGAGCUCCCGCUUUGGUCCGCCGUGUUGUGUGUGUUUGCAAAGAGCACAGGAACCGAUACAACACAUCUGCUCCCACUGCUUCCACAACACUAUUUCUUUCAUCUGUUCGAGUUUUGGCUUCUCUGAGAGGAAGUAAUUGGCUGUUAAUUAUGGGGGCUGAGAACUGGUCACAUCACAGAACUGUGUUUGCAAGCAUGAUUCAUGACAGCAUCAUUUCUCAGCAGCUGUCAGCAGUAAAGGCUCAGCACUUACAAGAAACUAUUAUAAUAUUAUACCAGCAAAGGAUGAAGACAAACGCUGUGCACAGCUGAGAAAGCAGCAAACAAAAUAUUUUUUUAAAACCUUUAUUCGAUAGAGAAUCAACUUGAAACAUGCUGUUUCUCAGGAGAGACAAACAAUAAUCCUGCCAGCAUGGCUUCCCGGACCAUGAAACUGAAAUCCAAACUCUUCAGAAGUCCUCCCCAGAGCUGGAUGAAAAAUGAAAAACUUUUCUCAUUAAUAGCUGGAAAUUUUAAACUUCUUCUUAAUACUCCCCACUCUGUCUCUGUUCCCCUUUCUUUCUUGUCUUGUGCUUAAAUUGCUUGGUCCUUGGGGAAGACAUUUUGAUUUGUUAUCUUCAUAUAGGCCCUAGGAGAUCUGGCCAAAAUCCAGUGUUACAGUACUUAAAACCAGAAAUAGUCAGCCUGCAGCAGAUCAGGAGUCUAUAUAGAACAGCAUCCUGUCUCCAGUGACUCCCAGUAGCAAACGCUUUGGGGGAGAAAAUGCAAACAUCAGAACAUGUGCGGGCUGAACUUCUUCCUGACUGCAUUCUCCCUGCUUCCUGCUUACUAAGCCUCCUAUCAGCAGCUUCGUAAGAAACAGAGAAUAAGAGAAAUUGGUAACGCUGGCAGGGGUGCGUCACAGAGAGACCUAAGUGUCCUUUAGUGUGUGAGCAGCUCGGUCCCUGAAGUCUGUGCUGCCACGAUUUGUCAUGGCUGCUUCUUUCCGAGGGAGCUUUGGCGAGAAGGGACAGCUCGUCCCUCGGAGCGCUAACUCACGGUUGCAGAUGUCGUCACCUGAGCGAGCUCGAGCUCUGCUGCUGGAGACCGCUGAAGGAGGAGCUGUGCCUUCCACAGCUGUCCCUGCUGUUGGGAGCAGAAGCCGGUGCCCCCUUCUGCCACGCCAGCUAAAUCUGCUCAGAAACAUAAGGCAAACUUUCAUCACUGUUCUUGGAGAAUUUCUCUCUCUAGAAACCAAGCGUUAGCACACCACUCACUGGAAGACAGGGCUGUGCACUUAAUUUGCCUUAACUCUAGUUCUAGGUUGGGUUUCCAUGUCAGGAGCAGAAAUGAGCAGCUCUACACAAGACAGCUCCUCUCUCCUCAGUGGCAACCGCUGUUUUUGCCGCAGCAACUACCAAAAGGAAGAAAAUGAUAUAAAGGACAGUCCCUCUGCCCCACUUCGUCAUCAGCGACUGAAAAACAAGGUGACCCAAAGCCACCACGCAGAGAAGAAUGCAGCCUUUUGUGAGAAACGAAAACGCAUUUAUACGGGCUUCAGACUUUUUGGUGUGGUUUUACAUACGCAGUUCCCUUCAGGAUAAUUGAUGCUGGGGAGAAGUCUGGUUUGCAGUAGGCAGGAAAAAUUAAGGCAUUCAAAGCAGCUUCAUGUUGUUUGUGGGCUAAACCAAAAUACCAGGACUUGUAUGUAGAACAUAAAUGAGAAGAAAGGAAAAACAACGUUAUAAAAAUCCCAGCAACAGAGCUUGGAGAGAGUUGAUAAAUAACAUCUCUAUCCUACCCCUCCAAAACAGGGCCCAAGUUUUUUCCCCCACUGACUUCCUUUUACUUUGGAGGAAAAACUGAGCAGAAUGUUUGUUUGUCAGUACCCAGGAAACUUUAAAUUCAGGACUACUCAUUUCAGGAAAAUGGGAGCUUUAGGAACUUAAAGAUACUAAGCACCCAGUUGUCUGAUUUUUACAUCAGAGAGAAGAGCAAAAGAUUUCCUCAUUUUCAUGAAAACCGUCUCUCCUUGGCAUUAGAAACAAGAUACAUACAGGCUCAUGGAUGGGGAAAUGACAGCCAGAAAGAAGAAAUCCUUUGUCCACGAACCAGAAAGUGAAUCUUGAUCCCUCGAGGUACAGUUCAGUGCCUUAACCCCAAGACCAUCCUUUCACUCACAGUCACGUAUCAAAGUCCGUUCUCCACGGACUCCACCAAAAAGCCUCCCGGUCCCUCUGCACUUUGAGCACCUGAACUGAGGAUAAUCCUCCAAGCUUUACCGGAGCCCAGGCUGUACCUGUUGAACGCUAAGAAGUUCCUAGUGCUUCUGUUGUUGCUUGGUGGGUACACAGGAACAGUGUGCUGUUCUCACAAGUGGCAAUAUCGUCAGCACUGACUGGAGGUCGAUUGCCACACUGCAGUGUACGCUGCUGCUUUACCAAGUACAAAUGAUAAUAUUUUUAAGACUGCACAGGGGCAGACCUGUGACACCACGGUACCAGGCCAUGGAUGUAUGGCCAACACAUAUGGACAUGUUCAGGUCUGUAGUUUAGAUUUUGGCUGUCUUUCCUCCCUUGGUGAGCUGGAAAAACUGGAGGUGUGGUGCUCUCAGCCCCAGAGGAUCACGGCCUAUGAUCUAACGCCAUCUGAGUAAGCAGAAGCGUAUGAUGACCGGUUCCUGAAUCAUAACGCUUUGUGCUAUUUUUCAGGUCAGGUAAUUAUCUCCAAACCCAGUUCCAGUUCCUCAGCACGGAGAGCCACGUCCUUGUGCCUGCCCAAGAUGCUCUGCACAGACCCAGAGAGCAAAAGAAAAGCCACCUAGAAUACCCCACAUCUCCUCACCUGCUCAGUGCUCCCAAUCCCAACAUAAAUUAGCGUUGGUCCUCUCGGCAGCAGGACCAG